AGAUUGAACGCUGGCGGCAGGCCUAACACAUGCAAGUCGAGCGGUAGAGAGGUGCCUGCACCUCUUGAGAGCGGCGGACGGGUGAGUAAUGCCUAGGAAUCUGCCUAGUGGUGGGGGAUAACGUUCGGAAACGGACGCUAAUACCGCAUACGUCCUACGGGAGAAAGCGGGGGACCUUCGGGCCUCGCGCCAUUAGAUGAGCCUAGGUCGGAUUAGCUAGUUGGUGAGG
rnacentral:rRNA from 1 species